rnacentral:rRNA from 1 species
AGUGAACGCUGGCGGUAGGCCUAACACAUGCAAGUCGAACGGCAGCACAGUAAGAGCUUGCUCUUACGGGUGGCGAGUGGCGGACGGGUGAGGAAUACAUCGGAAUCUACUUUUUCGUGGGGGAUAACGUAGGGAAACUUACGCUAAUACCGCAUACGACCUACGGGUGAAAGAAGGGGAUCUUCGGACCUUGCGCGAUUGAAUGAGCCGAUGUCGGAUUAGCUAGUUGGCGGGGUAAAGGCCCACCAAGGCGACGAUCCGUAGCUGGUCUGAGAGGAUGAUCAGCCACACUGGAACUGAGACACGGUCCAGACUCCUACGGGAGGCAGCAGUGGGGAAUAUUGGACAAUGGGCGCAAGCCUGAUCCAGCCAUACCGCGUGGGUGAAGAAGGCCUUCGGGUUGUAAAGCCCUUUUGUUGGGAAAGAAAAGCAGCAGGUUAAUACCCCGCUGUUCCGACGGUACCCAAAGAAUAAGCACCGGCUAACUUCGUG